rnacentral:rRNA from 1 species
UACGUAGGCAGCGAGCGUUGUUCGGAGUUACUGGGCGUAAAGCGUGCGUAGGCGGUUUUGUAAGUUUGGUGUGAAAUCUCCCGGCUCAACUGGGAGGGUGCGCCGAAAACUGCAAGGCUGGAGUGUGGGAGAGGUAGGCGGAAUUCCUGGUGUAGCGGUGGAAUGCGCAGAUAUCAGGAGGAACACCGGUGGCGAAGGCGGGACUCUGGGCAGUGAACUGACGUGAGGAGCGAAAGCGUGGGGAGCGAACAGGAUUAGAU